rnacentral:rRNA from 1 species
GGCACCACGAGGACUUUACUGUCUCCUUUUUCUAAUCAGUGAAACUAAUCUUCCCGUGAAGAAGCGGGAAUAAAUAGAUAAGACGAGAAGACCCCAUGGAGCUUUAAGCUUACUGCACCUCUAUUUUCUAUAACCUCUUAUUAAACGGAAUACUGCUUACUUAGCUUUAGGUUGGGGUGACCGCGGAGUAUAACAUAACCUCCAUGAUGAACAAAACUAUUUUCUUAUCUAAGAACAACAGUUCUAAGAAUUAGUAUUCUAACAUAAAAUGAUCCGAUAAUCGAUCAACGGACUAAGUUACCCUGGGGAUAACAGCGCAAUCCAUUUCAAGAGCCCCUAUCGACAAAUGGGUUUACGACCUCGAUGUUGGAUCAGGAUAUCCUAGUGGUGCAGCAGCUACUGAAGGUUCGUUUGUUCAACGAUUAAAAUCCU